UGCUGCUGCUACACAUGUGAUCCUACCUGACCCAAAACUCAACCUCCUUUCCCUCUGCCUCAGACUGCUACAGAGCAGUCUGACCAUGACCUGACUGACAUGCAACCAGAAACAUCCACACUGACUGAAGGAUGUCAUGAUCUCCUGCUUCACGUUACAUCUCGGCGUUAUUAUUUUUAGUGAGAAAAAUAAAGACGUGAGAACGGAGAAUGUGGAUGGACCUGAUUCUACUCCGGGGCGUGUCAUCUUUCCCCACCUGGCAGGUGAGCUAAGCCAGGGUUUGUACUACAGCAUUCAGGGUUAUACGGCACUCCUUCCACAGCAUGACUUUUGCAGAAUGAAGCCACUAAAGUGCAUAAGUGCAUGCUUGUGCUGCAAAAGUUAUGCCCCAGUCCAGAUUUUAUUUUCAGGAGAGGAAACAACAUGAGUCAUUCAUUAGUCAGCUAUCGUUGAGUAAAAACUCAGUGGGUGUUUGGCCACGGCCCUGUCUUACCGCCAUAUGCAGGGGGGGGCGUGGCAACAGCUACGACAUGUUUUUUGAAUCCAAACCCAAGUCUACAAAUCACAUGUUUGUACAACCGCUGAAGAAGACCAAUAGGGAGGCUCGCUCAACAAUCAGAUCUUUGUCCUGCUGCCAUCGCUGAUCACUACUGGAAAAACCAGUCAUAAAGGAUCACUUGGAACAGUUGUGACAUUGUCUAAAAUGCCAUGGGGUUUUAUGCUCUAAUAUUAAUCAUGUUUAAUAAAUAAAAUGCUCUCUCCGGUUGUGCCAGUUCAGGGUGGUUCACUUUGUUCCAGUUGCACAGUUGCACAGCUGAAUCAGCAACACACACACACACACACACACGCACUGAGUUAUGCAGCCUGUUCAAGUAACUUUUCCAAAUAGUUCCCCAAACAUGACCCCAUCAUAGUUAACAUGCCAAUAACUCUCCCGUCCGUAAUGACUGGAUGUUUAAAUUGGCAAUAUCAAUAUCGUCAUUAAUCUCUUUGACACAUGUUCAGUAGCUGUGAAGACGAGCAUCAGCAAAAUGUCAGGAAUAUAAAUUUGACGUAAAUAGACAAACAGGGCUUAUGCAGCAGGAAAGGUUGCUAUUUUUGCUUGAGUAAUUUCCUAAUUAAGGUGUUUAUGAGAAGCCUCAGUGAGGGGGUAUUUCAACAUGACUGUGUGAAACUAUAAGCCUGCAGAGCGGUGCCUGCAUGCCAGAGGAGUGAGCCUGACCGCAGCCGAGCUGCUGCUGCUUUUACACAAUAGUAAAGCUUUCUGUCUGAGGAUGCCUGUCUCGCUCUGCUCAUUCCGUCCCUGUCUUACACAACGUUGCACCCUGCCCUGGGAUUUCUUAACGUCGACAACAAAAACAGCCUGGGUGUACUCUCACGGGGGCCGGAGUGAGUUCAAAGACUUCAGAUUGUGUGUUGAAAUGAUGAGCAAACAAAAGCAGCCAUCGUCGGUGUUUUCUGUGCUAAACUCUCACCUGACUCCAGGCCGUUGUCUAAUAAGAGAAGUUGUCCAUCACCCGUGUCUCUGCUUCCAGUGUCACUGGGCUGGUUCUGACGAUAAGCCGCUGUGUGGACAUGUGACACACAUAUGAACUCACAUGCACCGGCUCACAUGGCGCAUGCCUACGUUCUCAUUAUCUCACUAUUUUGAAAAGCAGUGACACUUUGUCCCACUUCGUUGAGAUGAACAAACACACAUUUACAUAUUCUGCAAAGGGUGUGACACUUUGCCGCAGGCACUGAAGAAAGAAGCUCAAACAUUUCCACUGUAUACUCUCUGGUGCUUAUGAUUGACUUGAUUAUCAGUUGUUGUUGUUACCAGGAAAGGAUACCUACCCACUGCAUGUCCAUGUCGUGACGUUCCGCUGCCCUACAGCUCUUUCAAGGCA